CACAGGCAGGAUGCUGACGAUGGAAUAACGACUCAGGAUGAGUGUCAGGCGCGCCAGGAAGGCGAAGACACGGGAUUUGUCAGGAAGACAAACGUCCGGAGGGCGUUAUACAAAGGACAGGGAACAGGAACAGGGAAUGUUCAGGCUAAAGGAAGACAGGGGUUGUCAUUAGCGUACAGGGAAUGUUGAGCCCGUUAAGGGCAGCGAGUCAGAAAAAAGGCGACAGAUUGCUCUGUCGCCUUUUUUCUUUCUCUGCUU
rnacentral:sRNA from 2 species